rnacentral:rRNA from 1 species
AUUGAACGCUGGCGGCAGGCCUAACACAUGCAAGUCGAACGAGUGGCGGACGGGUGGGUAAUGUCUGGGAAACUGCCUGAUGGAGGGGGAUAACUACUGGAAACGGUAGAUAAUACCGCAUACCAUCGGAUGUGCCCAGAUGGGAUUAGCUAGUAGGUGGGGUAACGGCUCACCUAGGCGACGAUCCCUAGCUGGUCUGAGAGGAUGACCAGCCAAACUGGAACGGAGACACGGUCCAGACUCCUACGGGAGGCAGCAGGGGGGAAUAUUGCACAAUGGGCGAAAGUCUGAUGAAGCCAUGCCGCGUGUAUGAAGAAGGCCUUCGGGUUGUAAAGUACUGUCGGCGGGGAGGCGUUACCCGCAGAAGAAGCACCGGCUAACUCCGUGCCAGCAGCCGCGGUAAUUC